AAACUGAAGAGUUUGAUCCUGGCUCAGAUUGAACGCUGGCGGCAUGCCUUACACAUGCAAGUCGAACGGCAGCGCAGGGGCAACCCAGGCGGCGAGUGGCGAACGGGUG
rnacentral:rRNA from 1 species